rnacentral:rRNA from 1 species
GAUGAACGCUAGCGGCAGGCUUAACACAUGCAAGUCGAACGGUAACAUGAGAGCUUGCUCUUGAUGACGAGUGGCGCACGGGUGCGUAACGCGUAUACAAUCUACCUUUAACUGGGGGAUAGCCAGAAGAAAUUCUGAUUAAUACCCCAUAAUAUUUAGAAGAGGCAUCUCUUUUAUUUUAAAACUCCGGUGGUUAAAGAUGAGUAUGCGUCCCAUUAGCUAGUUGGUAAGGUAAUGGCUUACCAAGGCAACGAUGGGUAGGGGGCCUGAGAGGGUGAACCCCCACACUGGUACUGAGACACGGACCAG